rnacentral:lncRNA from 1 species
GUGAACGUGUCAUGUGUUGGAAAGGUGGCACGACCGAAGUCCAUGGGGACAGAAGCUCCCGUGCUCACGCCCUCUGGAGCUUGCCCUACAUGCAAGAUCUUCAUCUGGCUGUUCAUGUGUUUAUUCUAUCAAGUCCUUUGUCAUAAACUGGUAAAUAGGCUCUCCAGGCAUCAGCUUCACAGAGAGAAUCUUGAUGCCCAACAAGGACAGCAUUUUCAGAGAUGUACCCUUACAAGGGGUCCCCAUACAAGAUUGAAAUGGAUCACAGGGGAUAAUGCUCUUCCCCCACCGGCCAACUCACCAUGACAUAGAAUGAAAUGGCCCAGCUACAGCCUGGUAACCAAGAUAAAGAACUGAAGAUCCAAAGCCAGAGAAUGAUAAAGUAACUUCAACCUGACACAGUAAAACAUUGCAGGGAGAGUCCGGGAUCUGGAAUGAGAAUGCCACGUCCAGGCUGUGUUACCUUACAAAAAUUAUUAAUGCUUCAGUGGCCUCAUCUGCAGAAUGGAAAUACCAAUAAUAGUAGCUAUCUGAUAAGGUUAUUGUGGGGAUAGUAGGAGACAAUCCAUAAUAAUGUUUGAGUAGUAGCUGGCACAUUGUAGAUACUCAACAUACGCCAGCUAUUAUUGUUAUAGAAAAUAUGCAGAUCUGGAAUAGCUUGGAAAAUGUUUAUGAUACAAUAACAAAUUCAAAAGAAGUCUACUAAAUACUGUGUAUUUUAUGAUUGCAAUUUUGUAAAAACUAUAUCUGCUUAUGGAAAAAGAUUUGAAGAAAAUAUGCUUAUGUGAAAAGAAUUUCUUACAGUGAUGGGAUUACGUGUAGCUUUAUUUAUUUAUUUGAGACCAGGUCUCACUCUGUUGCCCAGGCUGCAAUACAGUGGUGUGACACCAGCUCCCUGAAACUCCUGGGCUCAAGUGAUCCUCCUGCCUCAGCCUCUUGAAUAACUGGGACUACAGGCAUGUGCCACCAUGCCCGGCUAAUAUUUAAUUUUUUUGUGGAGACAGAGUCUCCCUAUGCUGCCAUGCUGGUCUUGAACUCCUGGGCUCAAGCGAUCCUCCAG